rfam:Firmicutes bacterium CAG:882 genomic scaffold, scf286
UUGGGGAGAAGCUUAGAUGUUCUUAUGGCUCUGCACAGUGAACAGCCAAAGUCAGCAAGGAUGCUGACUUAGAUGCCAUAGGUCAUGGAUGACCGUUUGGCAUCGUUGGCGGCAGAUUGCAGAGCAUUUAUCAGAGCCGUUAGAACAUCUUGCUUCGUACAAG